ACCUCUGGAAUAGUUCAGCCGGUUGGAGCACGAUACUUUUAAUCUCAGGGUUGUGGGUUCGAGCCCCACGUUGGGCA